CCUAGUAACGGCGAGCGAAGCGGGAAGAGCUCAAAUUUGAAAGCUGGCACCUUCGGUGUCCGCGUUGUAAUCUCGAGACGUGUUUUCCGUGUGGCGCUAUGGACAAGUCCCUUGGAACAGGGCAUCGUAGAGGGUGAAAAUCCCGUACUUGCCAUGGCUGUACCAUGCUUUGUGAUACACGCUCUAAGAGUCGAGUUGUUUGGGAUUGCAGCUCAAAAUGGGUGGUAGANCUCCAUNCUAAAGCUAAAUAUCGGGGAGAGNNACCGAUAGCGAACAAGUACCGNUGAGGGAAAGAUGAAAAGCNACNNNUUUGGNNAAAGAGAGUUNAAAAGUNACNGUGAAAAANNUUGUCGAAANNGGGAANNNGCGCUUGAAGUCAGCCAUGCUGCUUGAGACUCAGCCUUGCUUUUGCUUGGUGUAUUUCUCGGUAGCAAGCCAGCAUUGGUUCGAGUCGUCGGAGAAGGGUAUGAGAAAUGUGGCAUCCUCGGAUGUGUUAUAGACUUGUACUGGAUACGACGA
rnacentral:rRNA from 1 species